GCUUAAUUUGACUCAACGCGGGAAAUCUUACCGGGUCCGGACACACUGAGGAUUGACAGAUAUAUACCCGUGAGUACUUCGGUGCUCGCGGGUUGAAAGAUGCUAGUUCUUUCAUGAUUAUGUGAUAGGUGGUGCAUGGCCGUUCUUAGUUCGUGGAGUGAUCUGUCUGCUUAAUUGCGUAUCAAUAAUAGAGACCUAGUAUACGCGUAGACUCAUGCGGUAGUGACCCCCCUUCACAGGGCGCGUGUCGCACGUAUGUUAUACGCACAGGUCUCCGAUAGCAACGAACGUGACCGUACUCUAUUGUUGCAGCGACAAUACCUUUCAACGGGUAUUACCGCUGCUUAGCAAGAUUCGUCUUGCAUUAAACUAUAGAGACCGCUGUUUCUUCUUUAAACCAGAGGAAGGAUACGGCAAUAACAGGUCUGUGAUGCC
rnacentral:rRNA from 1 species